rnacentral:sRNA from 4 species
UCCUAGCCCUGAUGGGAGGGAAAAUCCUUUUUUAUUGUUUUUCACAAUAAAAAAGAUUGGAAGGACAGCAGGAAAUAGC